GGGACACGUGGUAUCCUGUCUGAAUAUGGGGGGACCAUCCUCCAAGGCUAAAUACUCCUGACUGACCGAUAGUGAACCAGUACCGUGAGGGAAAGGCGAAAAGAACCCCGGCGAGGGGAGUGAAAAAGAACCUGAAACCGUGUACGUACAAGCAGUGGGAGCACGCUUAGGCGUGUGACUGCGUACCUUUUGUAUAAUGGGUCAGCGACUUAUAUUCUGUAGCAAGGUUAACCGAAUAGGGGAGCCGAAGGGAAACCGAGUCUUAACUGGGCGUUAAGUUGCAGGGUAUAGACCCGAAACCCGGUGAUCUAGCCAUGGGCAGGUUGAAGGUUGGGUAACACUAACUGGAGGACCGAACCGACUAAUGUUGAAAAAUUAGCGGAUGACUUGUGGCUGGGGGUGAAAGGCCAAUCAAACCGGGAGAUAGCUGGUUCUCCCCGAAAGCUAUUUAGGUAGCGCCUCGUGAAUUCAUCUCCGGGGGUAGAGCACUGUUUCGGCAAGGGGGUCAUCCCGACUUACCAACCCGAUGCAAACUGCGAAUACCGGAGAAUGUUAUCACGGGAGACACACGGCGGGUGCUAACGUCCGUCGUGAAGAGGGAAACAACCCAGACCGCCAGCUAAGGUCCCAAAGUCAUGGUUAAGUGGGAAACGAUGUGGGAAGGCCCAGACAGCCAGGAUGUUGGCUUAGAAGCAGCCAUCAUUUAAAGAAAGCGUAAUAGCUCACUGGUCGAGUCGGCCUGCGCGGAAGAUGUAACGGGGCUAAACCAUGCACCGAAGCUGCGGCAGCGACGCUUAUGCGUUGUUGGGUAGGGGAGCGUUCUGUAAGCCUGUGAAGGUGUGCUGUGAGGCAUGCUGGAGGUAUCAGAAGUGCGAAUGCUGACAUAAGUAACGAUAAAGCGGGUGAAAAGCCCGCUCGCCGGAAGACCAAGGGUUCCUGUCCAACGUUAAUCGGGGCAGGGUGAGUCGACCCCUAAGGCGAGGCCGAAAGGCGUAGUCGAUGGGAAACAGGUUAAUAUUCCUGUACUUGGUGUUACUGCGAAGGGGGGACGGAGAAGGCUAUGUUGGCCGGGCGACGGUUGUCCCGGUUUAAGCGUGUAGGCUGGUUUUCCAGGCAAAUCCGGAAAAUCAAGGCUGAGGCGUGAUGACGAGGCACUACGGUGCUGAAGCAACAAAUGCCCUGCUUCCAGGAAAAGCCUCUAAGCAUCAGGUAACAUCAAAUCGUACCCCAAACCGACACAGGUGGUCAGGUAGAGAAUACCAAGGCGCUUGAGAGAACUCGGGUGAAGGAACUAGGCAAAAUGGUGCCGUAACUUCGGGAGAAGGCACGCUGAUAUGUAGGUGAAGUCCCUUGCGGAUGGAGCUGAAAUCAGUCGAAGAUA
rnacentral:rRNA from 1 species